UCCCUGGUGGCUCAGAUGGUAAAGCAUCUGUCUACAAAGCGGGAGACCUGGGUUCGAUCCCUGGGUUGGGAA
rnacentral:tRNA from 1 species